rnacentral:rRNA from 1 species
CCUACGGUGAGCAGCAGUCGAGAAUCAUUCACAAUGGGGGAAACCCUGAUGGUGCGACGCCGCGUGGGGGAAUGAAGGUCUUCGGAUUGUAAACCCCUGUCAUGUGGGAGCAAAUUAAAAAGAUAGUACCACAAGAGGAAGAGACGGCUAACUCUGUGCCAGCAGCCGCGGUAAUACAGAGGUCUCAAGCGUUGUUCGGAAUCACUGGGCGUAAAGCGUACGUAGGUUGUUUCGUAAGUCGUGUGUGAAAGGCGCGGGCUCAACCCGCGGACGGCACAUGAUACUGCGAGACUAGAGUAAUGGAGGGGGAACCGGAAUUCUCGGUGUAGCAGUGAAAUGCGUAGAUAUCGAGAGGAACACUCGUGGCGAAGGCGGGUUCCUGGACAUUAACUGACGCUGAGGCACGAAGGCCAGGGGAGCGAAAGGGAUUAGAUACCCUGGUAGUC